GCCGAGGUGGUGAAAUUGGCAAACACGUACGGUUCAGAGCCGUAUGCUUUUACGAGCUUGCGGGUUCAAGUCCCGCCCUCGGCA
rnacentral:tRNA from 1 species